UGGGUUGCCAUUUCCUACUCCAUCGGUAAUAUGUAGCCCUCUCAAAAAGGCAUAAGCCUUGAUAAGUCACAGAUCUAGAAUGGAGAGCCAGUUUAUGAUUGACUUAUCUUUUGCACGGAUCUUCUCAAACAUUAAGAGCUUCAUUGACUUAUUGCCUGGUAAAUGGACCAGCCUUCUCAAUCACAGUCUGAACCUAGAAUGAUGGGGUGUUCGUCUCAGCCAACUGCCAUUCUACACAUGAUAUAACUACAGGAUGUACUGUUACUCGAUAGAGGGAUGUUGACUCAGCCUUCCUCAGUGACAGUCUCAGGAACACUGACAGUGCCUUCAAUUGUGUUACAUCACCUCUACUAAGUGGCCGCUGGGAAUACUUCCUGACAUCUCAUGUAUGGGUUAGUAAUUUCUCCUAUUUAUAUUCUCUCCUAGACCUUGCUUUUCUCUGCUUGAAAUUUUUCUGUUGGAAAAUGCACUUAAAUUAUAGUUUGUCCCAUUCCCUGACCCUACUGAACUGGGAGCAUAUACCUUCUCUCAAUCUGGUCCUAUAUGAACUUCAUCUUCCAGAAAGAUAA